rnacentral:rRNA from 6 species
CCAGGUCAGGCGGGGCCACCCGCUGAGUUUAA